GAAUGCUGACAUAAGUAACGAUAAAGCGGGUGAAAAGCCCGCUCGCCGGAAGACCAAGGGUUCCUGUCCAACGUUAAUCGGGGCAGGGUGAGUCGACCCCUAAGGCGAGGCCGAAAGGCGUAGUCGAUGGGAAACGGGUUAAUAUUCCCGUACUUGGUGUUACUGCGAAGGGGGGACGGAGAAGGCUAUGUUGGCCGGGCGACGGUUGUCCCGGUUUAAGCGUGUAGGUGUGUGUUCCAGGUAAAUCCGGUUCACUUUAACACUGAGGCGUGACGACGAGGCACUACGGUGCUGAAGCAACAAAUGCCCUGCUUCCAGGAAAAGCCUCUAAGCAUCAGGUAACAUCAAAUCGUACCCCAAACCGACACAGGUGGUCAGGUAGAGAAUACCAAGGCGCUUGAGAGAACUCGGGUGAAGGAACUAGGCAAAAUGGUGCCGUAACUUCGGGAGAAGGCACGCUGACACGUAGGUGAAGUGAUUUACUCAUGGAGCUGAAGUCAGUCGAAGAUACCAGCUGGCUGCAACUGUUUAUUAAAAACACAGCACUGUGCAAACACGAAAGUGGACGUAUACGGUGUGACGCCUGCCCGGUGCCGGAAGGUUAAUUGAUGGGGUCAGCGCAAGCGAAGCUCCUGAUCGAAGCCCCGGUAAACGGCGGCCGUAACUAUAACGGUCCUAAGGUAGCGAAAUUCCUUGUCGGGUAAGUUCCGACCUGCACGAAUGGCGUAAUGAUGGCCAGGCUGUCUCCACCCGAGACUCAGUGAAAUUGAACUCGCUGUGAAGAUGCAGUGUACCCGCGGCAAGACGGAAAGACCCCGUGAACCUUUACUAUAGCUUGACACUGAACAUUGAGCCUUGAUGUGUAGGAUAGGUGGGAGGCUUUGAAGUGUGGACGCCAGUCUGCAUGGAGCCGACCUUGAAAUACCACCCUUUAAUGUUUGAUGUUCUAACGUGGACCCGUUACCCGGGUUGCGGACAGUGUCUGGUGGGUAGUUUGACUGGGGCGGUCUCCUCCUAAAGAGUAACGGAGGAGCACGAAGGUUGGCUAAUCCUGGUCGGACAUCAGGAGGUUAGUGCAAUGGCAUAAGCCAGCUUGACUGCGAGCGUGACGGCGCGAGCAGGUGCGAAAGCAGGUCAUAGUGAUCCGGUGGUUCUGAAUGGAAGGGCCAUCGCUCAACGGAUAAAAGGUACUCCGGGGAUAACAGGCUGAUACCGCCCAAGAGUUCAUAUCGACGGCGGUGUUUGGCACCUCGAUGUCGGCUCAUCACAUCCUGGGGCUGAAGUAGGUCCCAAGGGUAUGGCUGUUCGCCAUUUAAAGUGGUACGCGAGCUGGGUUUAGAACGUCGUGAGACAGUUCGGUCCCUAUCUGCCGUGGGCGCUGGAGAACUGAGGGGGGCUGCUCCUAGUACGAGAGGACCGGAGUGGACGCAUCACUGGUGUUCGGGUUGUCAUGCCAAUGGCACUGCCCGGUAGCUAAAUGCGGAAGAGAUAAGUGCUGAAAGCAUCUAAGCACGAAACUUGCCCCGAGAUGAGUUCUCCCUGAGACUUAAAGUCUCCU
rnacentral:rRNA from 1 species